GCGGAAGCCUGGUAUCUGACUAAUGCUCACCAAGUGUUACAAGGCUUGAGCAGAGGGAAAUAUGCAACCUUGUGACCCUGACUCAGAAUAGCCAAACUCCAUCUGCUCUGAAACUUUAAAUGGAUUUUAUCCAGGGAAAGCUCAGAAACUGCAAGUACAGAAUUUCACAAAACCAGAAAAGAAUGAACAGGAACACUUCCAAGUAGGAGGUAAUUGAUGAGCCAUUACAUCAACGAGGAGGUCUUCUUCUGUUGUUUUUACGUGCAUGGAGUAGCACCUCACAACUGCUAUUCAACUAUGUGGCUGCUGUAGCUGGGUUUCCUGUUACACAACUCAACACUCUGAUUUUAAACCAACAAAUUCCACCUGUCUUUACCAACCAGGAGGCAGCCCACAGUCAAGGCAGCUUCUUUUUCCCAACUUGCUAAUUGGUUCACCCUUUUUUUUCUCAGUCAGAAUGCAUUACUAGAGAUGCCUGUGCUUUAUUCAGGCCAUUCUUGGUGUGAGUUAUUUGCAAGUAUAAGCCUGCAAGCAAAUUCAUUGUAGGUGUAUUUUCCAAGCUGUGAAAAGAAGACUGUAAGCAUUACAUAUAACCUGAGGUAUACCGUGUAAUUUAUAACAUAUAAAUAAAUUAUUAAAUUUGUCUUUCUGUUUUCAUUUGCCAAAUAUCAUAAUUUGAUUUUUAUGGGCAUGUGUUGGUGCCCCCAGCAGGCUCUUAGAAAAAUUAAAUCUGGAAUCCUGUGAAAGAAAUGUUGCAGAAAGAAUUAACUUGUUUACUGUAUUGUGAUGAAUGGAAUAGCUGCAUUGAAUGUAUAUGAAGCUGCACAAUUAAUUACUACAUAAAUGACUUGUUAACUGCAAAAGUGUGUCAUGCAUGAUCUUUACCUACAGCAGACUGUAUUGCAUUGUAGAAGUAAAUAUAAAGCUCUGAAUGCUUUAAUUAUAGCACUUCUGGGAUGCCAACUACAGUCCUGUUCUUAGAGUAGUAAAGAACACAUAGGC